AAUUCUCAACCUUGCAAGCUUUUUCUUGCGAGGCUUGGAUGUGAGGGAUUUUGCUGGCUUCCUUCAGUUGGAUGGUCUGCUCCCUUUAAAUUCAUUAGUGGGAUCCUUUGUGGAUGGUCACUUGGUGUGAUAAUUAUCUACGCCGCCUGACUCUGAAACAAGACUUGUGGGAACCUGCUCAUAACCGUCUCUUCAGAGACAACCUAACCUUGACAAU
rnacentral:misc_RNA from 1 species